AGCGAACGCUGGCGGCAGGCUUAACACAUGCAAGUCGAACGGGCACUUCGGUGCUAGUGGCAGACGGGUGAGUAACGCGCGGGAACGUGCCCUUCGGUUCGGAAUAAUCCAGGGAAACUUGGACUAAUACCGGAUACGCCCUUCGGGGGAAAGAUUUAUCGCCGAAAGAUCGGCCCGCGUCUGAUUAGCCAGUUGGUGAGGUAAAGGCUCACCAAGGCGACGAUCAGUAGCGGGUCUGAAGGGAUGAGCAGCCACAUUGGGACUGAGACACGGCCCAAACUCCUACGGGAGGCAGCAAUGGGGAAUAUUGGACAAUGGGCGCAAGCCUGAUCCAGCCAUGCCGCGUGGGUGGUUGAGGCCUUAAGGUUGGAAAGCUCUUUUGUCCGGGAAGAUAAUGACUGUACCGGAAGAAUAAGCCCCGGCUAACUUCGUGCCAGCAGCCGCAGUAACAC
rnacentral:rRNA from 1 species